rnacentral:rRNA from 1 species
CCUACGGGUGGCAGCAGUGGGGAAUAUUGGACAAUGGGGGGAACCCUGAUCCAGCCAUGCCGCGUGUGUGAAGAAGGCCCUCGGGUUGUAAAGCACUUUCAGUGAGGAAGAACGCCUGGUGGUUAAUACCCAUCAGGAAAGACAUCACUCACAGAAGAAGCACCGGCUAACUCCGUGCCAGCAGCCGCGGUAAUACGGAGGGUGCGAGCGUUAAUCGGAAUUACUGGGCGUAAAGCGCGCGUAGGUGGCUUGAUAAGCCAGUUGUGAAAGCCCCGGGCUCAACCUGGGAACGGCAUCCGGAACUGUCAAGCUAGAGUGCAGGAGAGGAAGGUAGAAUUCCCGGUGUAGCGGUGAAAUGCGUAGAGAUCGGGAGGAAUACCAGUGGCGAAGGCGGCCUUCUGGACUGACACUGACACUGAGGUGCGAAAGCGUGGGUAGCAAACAGGAUUAGAUACCCUGGUAGUC